AACGAACGCUGGCGGCAUGCCUAACACAUGCCAGUCGAACGAGACCUUCGGGUCUAGUGGCGCACGGGUGCGUCACGCGUGGGACCCUGCCCUUAGGUUCGGAAUAAUUCUCCGAAAGGGGUGCUAAUACCGGAUAAUGUCUUCGGACCAAAGAUUUAUCGUCUUUGUAUGGGCCCGCGUUGGUUUAGCUAGUUGGUAGGGUAAAAGCCUACCAAGGCGUCGAUCCAUAGCUGGUCUGAGAGGAUGAUCAGCCACACUGGGACUGAGACACGGCCCAGACUCCUACGGGAGGCAGCAGUGGGGAAUAUUGGACAAUGGGCGAAAGCCUGAUCCAGCAAUGCCGCGUGAGUGAUGAAGGCCGUAGGGUUGUAAAGCUCUUUUACCCGGGAUGAUAAUGACAGUACCGGGAGAAUAAGCACCGGCUAACUCCGUG
rnacentral:rRNA from 1 species